rnacentral:rRNA from 1 species
GGUUGAUCCUGCCAGUAGCAUAUGCUUGACUUGGAGAUUAAGCCAUGCAUGUCUAAGUAUAAGUUAUAUAUGGCAAAACUGCGAAUGGCUCACUAAAACAGUUAUAAUUUAUUUGAUGAUUUUUUUACAUGGAUAACCAUGGGAAACUAUGGCUAAUACAUGCAUAAGCCUCACGGCUGUAUUUAUUAGUCUUAAACCAAUACGCAAGUAUUGAGAGGAAUCAUAAUAACUGAUCGAAGCGCAGUCAAAUGCGCUACAUCAUAUAAGUUUCUGCCCUAUCAGCCAGAUGGUA